rnacentral:rRNA from 1 species
CACCCAUGCCCGCGGGGUAUGAAGAACGCCUUCGUGGUUGUAAAGUUACUUUCCCCCGUUGGAGGAAGGUGUUGUGGUUAAUAACCGCAGCAAUUGACGUUACCCGCAGAAGAAGCACCGGCUAACUCCGUGCCAGCAGCCGCGGUAAUACGGAGGGUGCAAGCGUUAAUCGGAAUUACUGGGCGUAAAGCGCACGCAGGCGGUCUGUUAAGUCAGAUGUGAAAUCCCCGGGCUCAACCUGGGAACUGCAUCUGAUACUGGCUGGCUUGAGUCUCGUAGAGGGGGGUAGAAUUCCAGGUGUAGCGGUGAAAUGCGUAUAGAUCUGGAGGAAUACCGGUGGCGAAGGCGGCCCCCUGGACGAAGACUGACGCUCAGGUGCGAAAGCGUGGGGAGCAAACAGGUAUUAGAUACCCUGGUAGCCCACGCCGUAAACGAUGUCGACUUGGAGGUUGUGCCCUUGAGGCGUGGCUUCCGGAGCUAACGCGUUAAGUCCACCGCCUGGGGAGUACGGCCGCAAGGUUAAAACUCUAAAGGAA